AGUGAACGCUGGCGGUAGGCCUAACACAUGCAAGUCGAACGGCAGCACAGUAAGAGCUUGCUCUUACGGGUGGCGAGUGGCGGACGGGUGAGGAAUACAUCGGAAUCUACUUUUUCGUGGGGGAUAACGUAGGGAAACUUACGCUAAUACCGCAUACGUCCUACGGGUGAAAGCAGGGGAUCUUCGGACCUUGCGCGACUGAAUGAGCCGAUGUCGGAUUAGCUAGUUGGCGGGGUAAAGGCCCACCAAGGCGACGAUCCGUAGCUGGUCUGAGAGGAUGAUCAGCCACACUGGAACUGAGACACGGCCCAGACUCCUACGGGAGGCAGCAGUGGGGAAUAUUGGGCAAUGGGCGCAAGCCUGAUCCAGCCAUGCCGCGUGGGUGAAGAAGGCCUUCGGGUUGUAAAGCCCUGUUGUUGGGAAAGAAAAGCAGCAGGUUAAUACCCCGCUGUUCUGACGGUACCCAAAGAAUAAGCACCGGCUAACUUCGUG
rnacentral:rRNA from 1 species